rnacentral:rRNA from 1 species
UCCUCCCUCUGGCGGCGUGCUUAACACAUGCAAGUCGAACGGAAAGGCCCUGCUUUUGUGGGGUGCUCGAGUGGCGAACGGGUGAGUAACACGUGAGUAACCUGCCCUUGACUUUGGGAUAACUUCAGGAAACUGGGGCUAAUACCGGAUAGGGGCUCCUGCUGCAUGGUGGGGGUUGGAAAGUUUCGGCGGUUGGGGAUGGACUCGCGGCUUAUCAGCUUGUUGGUGGGGUAGUGGCUUACCAAGGCUUUGACGGGUAGCCGGCCUGAGAGGGUGACCGGCCACAUUGGGACUGAGAUACGGCCCAGACUCCUACGGGAGGCAGCAGAGGGGAAUAUUGCACAAUGGGCGGAAGCCUGAUGCAGCAACGCCGCGUGCGGGAUGACGGCCUUCGGGUUGUAAACCGCUUUCGCCUGUGACGAAGCGUGAGUGACGGUAAUGGGUAAAGAAGCACCGGCUAACUACGUG